AGUUGACUGUUGCCAAAGCUGAUCCUGUUUCCGCAUCCGGCAACCAGAGGGCAGCUGACUUCCAGCAACUCUGAGCUGACUUGGAUCUAAUUCUUCCCAAUUCACGCCACAAGCCCAACUCAUCGGCUGAUACCUGAGGAUGAUCCACUGCUCACUGAGCGUGGUCAGGGAGCGCCGCUGUCGGACGAGCAUCUUCAUCAAAUGUGCUGAGAACCCUCUGCACCGCUCCACGUUGCCCAUGCCCAUUUCCUGGCAGAAGGAGAAGGAAAAACAUGCUGAAGGGGCUGCUGACAAACACCACCCACAGAUGUGCCUCUAGAAAGUUGUUUCUACUAUAAGCGUCAGACAUGCCGCACUCUAGAGGUGACACAUUCAUUUUUUUGAGCAGUGUUUCUCCAAUUAUGCUUGCACAGAUCAUUGAUAUUCCACAGACAGGAACUGGAUUUAACUCCAAAAUGCAUUUAUUAGUGCUCUUUUCUCAAUUCACAAAGGGAAGAAAGAUCUAAAGAUGGCAUUCUCAAUUUGAAGUUUUUAAUUUUUCUUAAACAUUAAGAAAAUUUGUCCUGCUGGCAAGUGUAACUGAAUUUAUUUAAGGUGUUCUGAUUUUGCACAAAAUUACAUUGAUUUAUAUUUUAAGUUUAAGGAUGUACUGCAAAAAGCUCAGUUCCACUAACAGGCUGUUAUCACUUAACAAGGUCUGAGAAUGCGGCCCUGGGAUGAACAGAACAAGGGCUUUCCCUGAGCCCCUUCAAGACUCAUGUUCUAUCAUUCUACCUUGGCAGGAGUUGCUAGUGCUGCGUUAAGCCUGGCAUGCCGUGCAAGAGAGCGAUAAAAAUACUUCUGGCAUCCAUCCCAUGAAGACGAGAUUUCUGUAAGCAGCCUGGAAAAGAUAUCAACAUCGUUUACUUAAUCAAAACCAUGCUCUCCCACCCCAGAUCCUGAAAACUCAGAUAUUGGUAUAUUUGGCCAUAACCAAGAGUCAGCUGUCUGAAUAGGUUUAUUUCUAUGAGGAAUCAUUCAGUGAGGCACUCAUUAGUCCUUUACUUAACUCAGCACUGGAAGUAUCAGGGGAAAUAAAUUAUGCUGACAAUAUGGUUUCUUCAAUGAAAUCUUCCUAUCUUGGCAGUGGAGGCUAGGGGGUCAUAAACUCUGAUGCCUACAGGGGCCAGGCAAAUAACAUAAGAGGACUAAGGACAGCCAAGCAUAAAAUGAUGCAUGGCAGUGACAGCUGACCUCAAUGUGGGGAAGACACAGGGGUUGUUGAGGGCUCAAGUAAGCUGGAGAGCAUGUGUCCUAUCAAAAGGAGGAAACUACUAUUCAGCUAUAGCAAUGCUGACUGAAUGGGAAUGCAAGCCCACUUGGCAAAUUUUCCUGAAAAAGAAUGCUUAUGUAAAAUUUCCCCUUUCUACAAUGUUCUGUUGAAUUCAAAUUUAAAGCCCUGGGAGCAAAUAAAACACACACGUGUAC